rnacentral:rRNA from 1 species
GGAUUAGAUACCCUGGUAGUCCACGCCGUAAACGAUGUGCACUAGUUUGGUGGAGAUCUGACUCUCUGCCAGACGCCGAGAAAUCAUUAAGUGCACCGCCUGGGGAGUACGGUCGCAAGGCUAAAACUCAAAGGAAUUGACGGGGGCUCACACAAGCGGUGGAGCAUGUUGCUUAAUUCGAAACAACGCGAAGAACCUUACCUGGGCUUGACAUGUAUGGAUUAGCUCUUGGAAACAUGAGUGACGCCCUUUGGGUGGAACAUACACAGGUGCUGCAUGGCUGUCGUCAGCUCGUGUUG